GGAUUAGAUACCCUGGUAGUCCAUGCUGUAAACUAUGAGAACUUGCUGUUGGAUGCAUAAAGGCAUUUAGUAGCGAAGCUAACGCGUUAAGUUCUCCGCCUGGGGAGUACGGCCGCAAGGCUAAAACUCAAAGGAAUUGACGGGGGCCCGCACAAGCGGUGGAGCAUGUGGUUUAAUUCGAUGCAACGCGAAGAACCUUACCUACUCUUGAAUCCACGGAAGACUGCAGAGAUGCGGUUGUGCCUUCGGGAACCGUGAGACAGGUGCUGCAUGGCUGUCGUCAGCUCGUGCCG
rnacentral:rRNA from 1 species